rnacentral:tRNA from 1 species
GCCCCGGUGGCGGAUUUUGGUUAGACGCGCCCGACGAAAAGCCGGGUGGGCCAAGUGCCCAUGAGGGUUCAAGUCCCUCGCGGGGCA